UUACUUACCUAGUACUGGAGAUAAAAGGACCACAAAAGUGGUUUUUCUCAGAUUAAAGAUCAAAGAUUGUACUCAGAGUAUGGUGAAUAAAGUUUCCCCUAAUUUAGGAAAGUCUACUCUGUGAUUUGUGGUAGUGGGGUUAGCAUUUGUACUCUACCCUA